rnacentral:rRNA from 1 species
UAGGGAAUAUUGGACAAUGGGGGCAACCCUGAUCCAGCCAUGCCGCGUGUGUGAAGAAGGCCUUCGGGUUGUAAAGCACUUUUGUCCGGAAAGAAAUCCUGCAGGUUAAUACUCUGCGGGGAUGACGGUACCGGAAGAAUAAGCACCGGCUAACUUCGUGCCAGCAGCCGCGGUAAUACGAAGGGUGCAAGCGUUACUCGGAAUUACUGGGCGUAAAGCGUGCGUAGGCGGUUUGUUAAGUCUGAUGUGAAAUCCCCGGGCUCAACCUGGGACGUGCAUUGGAAACUGGCGAUCUAGAGUACGGUAGAGGGUGGUGGAAUUCCCGGUGUAGCAGUGAAAUGCGUAGAGAUCGGGAGGAACACUCGUGGCGAAGGCGGCCACCUGGACCAGUACUGACGCU